UGGCCUGUGCUAGGUAUUUUUCUAAGCACUGGGAAUACAGCAGUGAAGGAAUGCAAAUUCCUGCCCUCAUGGAGUAUGCAUUCUAGAAGAGGGAGGCAGACAAUAUACAAAUAAAUAAAUAGACAGUAAAUAUGCAAUGUGUCAAGUGGAGAUAUGUACUAUGAAAAAAAUAUAACAGGGCAAGGGAAUGCACAGUGAGUGGUGGGAGGUGGGGCAAUGGGUGCUACUUUAUUUUAUUUUAUUACUUUUUUUUUUUUGAGACAGAGUCUCGCUCUGUCGCCUAGGCUGGAGUGCAGUGGCACGAUCUCGUCUCACUGCAACCUCUGCCUCCCAAGUUCAAGCGAUUCUCUUGCCCCAGCCUCCCGAG
rnacentral:lncRNA from 1 species